rnacentral:rRNA from 1 species
GCUUAGCUAUAAAUUAAAAUUACACCAAAAACACCAGGGAACUACGAGCCACGCUUAAAACCCAAUGGACUUGACGGUGCCCCAUCCAACUAGAGGAGCCUGUUCUAUAAUUGACAAUCCCCACUACACCUCACCCCUAUUUGCCUAUCAGCCUGUAUACCUCCGUCGCAAGUUUACUCUAUGAAUACCCAAAAGUAAACCUAAUUGGGACCCCCCCCCCACGUCAGGUCAAGGUGCAGCUAAUGUAGGGGUAGAUAAUGGGCUACAAUUUCUAAUAUAGAAUAAACGAACAAUCGCAUGAAACUGUGAUUUAAAGGAGGAUUUAGAAGUAAGAGCAGAAUAGAGAGCCCCUCUUAAACAGGACCUGGGUCGCGUACAAACCGCCCGUCACCCUCUUCAAUAAUUAUUAACCUAUAACUUAUACCAAGAAAUUCUCAAGAAGAGGUAAGUCGUAACAUGGUAAGUGUACUGGAAAGUGCACUUGGAUUAA